AUGGAUUUUUUGCAAUAUGAGAUUGAAUUCCAUAACUCUGAUUUGUAUUUUACUUUUUAUUGGUGUUGUUGGGAAAUCUGCACAGAUAGGAUUGCAUACUUGGUUACCCGAUGCAAUGGAGGGUCCCACUCCAGUAUCUGCUUUGAUUCAUGCAGAUACUAUGGUCACUGCUGGCAUUUUCAUGAUAGCAAGGUGCUCCCCUUUAUUUGA
rnacentral:rRNA from 1 species